AUUGAACGCUGGCGGCAGGCCUAACACAUGCAAGUCGAGCGGAUGAAGGGAGCUUGCUCCUGGAUUCAGCGGCGGACGGGUGAGUAAUGCCUAGGAAUCUGCCUGGUAGUGGGGGAUAACGUCCGGAAACGGGCGCUAAUACCGCAUCCGUCCUGAGGGAGAAAGUGGGGGAUCUUCGGACCUCACGCUAUCAGAUGACCCUAGGUCGGAUUAGCUAGUUGGUGGGGUAAAGGCCUACCAAGGCGACGAUCCGUAACUGGUCUGAGAGGAUGAUCAGUCACACUGGAACUGAGACACGGUCCAGACUCCUACGGGAGGCAGCAGUGGGGAAUAUUGGACAAUGGGCGAAAGCCUGAUCCAGCCAUGCCGCGUGUGUGAAGAAGGUCUUCGGAUUGUAAAGCACUUUAAGUUGGGAGGAAGGGCAGUAAGUUAAUACCUUGCUGUUUUGACGUUACCAACAGAAUAAGCACCGGCUAACUUCGUG
rnacentral:rRNA from 1 species